UGGGGAAUUUUGGACAAUGGGGGAAACCCUGAUCCAGCCAUCCCGCGUGUGCGAUGAAGGCCUUCGGGUUGUAAAGCACUUUUGGCAGGAAAGAAACGUCGCGGGUUAAUACCCCGCGGAACUGACGGUACCUGCAGAAUAAGCACCGGCUAACUACGUGCCAGCAGCCGCGGUAAUACGUAGGGUGCAAGCGUUAAUCGGAAUUACUGGGCGUAAAGCGUGCGCAGGCGGUUCGGAAAGAAAGAUGUGAAAUCCCAGAGCUUAACUUUGGAACUGCAUUUUUAACUACCGGGCUAGAGUGUGUCAGAGGGAGGUGGAAUUCCGCGUGUAGCAGUGAAAUGCGUAGAUAUGCGGAGGAACACCGAUGGCGAAGGCAGCCUCCUGGGAUAACACUGACGCUCAUGCACGAAAGCGUGGGGAGCAAACAGGAUUAGAUACCCUGGUAGUCCACGCCCUAAANGAUGUCAACUAGCUGUUGGGGUCUUCGGACCUUGGUAGCGCAGCUAACGCGUGAAGUUGACCGCCUGGGGAGUACGGUCGCAAGAUU
rnacentral:rRNA from 1 species